rnacentral:ncRNA from 1 species
GGGAAGUCGGCAAAAUGGAUCCGUAACCUCGGGAAAAGGAUUGGCUCUGAGGGCUGGGCACGGGGGUCCCAGUUUCGAACCCGUCGGCUGUUGGCGGACUGCUUGAGCUGCUCCCGCGGCGAGAGCGGGUCGACGCGUGCCGGUCGGGGGACGGACUGGGAACGGGACCUUUUGGUCCUCUUCCCCGGGCAUCGAACAGUCAACUCAGAACUGGUACGGACAAGGGGAAUCCGACUGUUUAAUUAAAACAAAGCAUUGCGAUGGUC